rnacentral:lncRNA from 1 species
CGGCUCGCCGGGCUCCGGGCGCUGCCAAGUUACCGGGGCGCCGUGGGACUCAGUGCUUGGGGCCGCGCUCCUCUGCGCACCCCCCGGCUGCCCCUCCGCAGCCCCGGGGGCGUCCGCAGUGCCCGCGGGUGGCGUCCGGGAAAUGGGCUGGCAGCCGGGGCGCGCGCUGCCGGCGGGGCUGAGCCUCUGCUGCUAGCUUCCCCCAGCCGAGCGCCUCCGCCGCCGCCGCCUCCUCCUCCUCAUUCAAGUCCAAGGAGAUCGGGUUUCGCUCCGAGACCGCGGUCGGAGGCAGGCAGACGGUCUGACGUCAGCGCUAGACGGGGCUGCCGGUUCCCACCGCGCGGGGGCCGGGGAGGGGGCGCGCGCUGCGCCAAUCCCCGCCGAGGUUCUCCCGCACCCCCUCCCCGGGCCGCGGGGCGGGGUGACGGGGAAGGGGGCGGGCUCUUAAAGGGCCAGAGCAAGGCGGUCCGCGUAGACCCGGGACCCGCGAGGCGAAAGAAGGGUGCAGCGUCCCCUCACAAACGGCGAUCUGCAGCUCCAAGAGGCCCCAGCCCACUGCGCCCCCCCGCGCAAUUUAUCUCGACCUAGAGGAGGUCGACUGGGGAAAACUAGAACUCCUGUAGACACGCCCCGGACUGCUCCGAAAAACGCCCGGGAACCCUUGUCAUGUAAAUACGUGUCGGGGACUUGUACUGUCCCAGCCAGCGAGGCCCGGGGCGAAUCCACACCCUACGUCUGCUGCCCAGAGGGCCACUGGCCUGCGGUGGGCGAGAGGAAAGAAGCGGCUCCGGAGUUCUAAAGACGGGGGAGGAAGUGCGGGGGUGUACUUUUAUUUCAAGUUUUAAUUACACAAGUGCUACAAGAACACAUUCUCCUGGAAUUAAAAAGAUAUUAAAAUAUUAUGUAAGAGGCCCCCCUGCCUGGCACAUCUCCAUCCUCUCAACAAUGCGGUGUGUCCUCUCCUAGACCCUGCCCUGAGUCUCUAUUUAUUUAACAAGUACUUACUACCUUGUGCUAGAAACUUGCCAAACAAGAAGGCAAUCUGACACCUACUCUGAGGGCCAGGUAUAUUAUUAUUCCCAUUUUACAGACACGGAAACUGGAGGGGUGAGGGUGUCACACAAUGGAGGAGUUCUAAGCUGAACCCAGGUCAGACCCCCCUACCCCAAAUAUUUUUAGUUCUUGAAAUAUCCUCCACAUAUCCGUGUACUGCCUGGAAUUUUCUUAAUAGGCAAAGUUUUGCACUGGGGAGGGGGUCAGGGAGGGGGCGGGCAGCAGUGGUGGGGGGAGGCUUAAAAGUUAUGGAACCAGAGCUGUAUCUCCCAGAACUCAGAGAAAGCCAGCCCAGGAAGUGGUGAGGUCUCUUCUGCAACUGGGCACAGUGAUGCCUCUUGCUUUCUUAGCACAAACCGAAAGCUUUUUCUAGAGGGUUCAAAGCCCAGGGCCCCGGAAGGGAGGGCCUGCUCAGGACUUACCAUGGAGGGGACCCAUGUCACAGACUCAUGGCAGUCUCAGGCCCUCCCUUAAAGAAGAGGCAGGUCUCACCAACACGUCUAAGGAAGGAGGGGGGAGGUCUUGCUGCAGUUUAACUUCAGCAGCUUGGAGGAAAAGCAGGAGAGUCUUGAGCAUUCCUUGGGGGCAGGGCUGGGGUGGGGGGUAGUGAGAAUGUUGUCAGGGCCUGGGAAUGACCUUGAGCCCCAUUCACGUGUCAGGCCACAGGGGGUCACCAGCAUUUCCCCUCCUUUCAGCCAUUCCUUGAGUCAUUCAAACAACAGACAUUCCCUGAGCUGUAGAGAGCCCUGAGUGUCAGGAAUUGGCUGAGGUCAGGAGCGGCUGUCUCUACCCUCCUGAAGUCUUACAGCUGAUCUGGCCUGUCGGCCACAAGAAUCACACAGGUUGAUUGCCUUGGAAAUGGGGCAGCAUUUUAUACAAUCCAGGUUAAACCACUGGCCGGCAAAAAUAACCAGUUAAUUCAGUGGAUGAAAAAAAACAAAUCCACAAUAUCAACCUCUGGUUGAUCUGUCUGGGACAACAGCACGGGAACAUUUAAUGAGCACCUACAUUGUGAUCACACUGUUUUGAUGGUGUCAGCGGGGAUGAGUUAUUGGUCUCCAUCCUGGUUCCAAAGUGAGUUUUGCCUGGAGGCCUAAUGCAGAGAGUCAGUGUGGUGGUGGCAACUGCACCUCCAAAGAUGAGUGGGAUACAGUCAUGUGACCUCGGUGAGUACCUUCAUCUCUCCGACCUCAGUUUCCUUCUCUUCAAAAGAAGGGAAUGGGAAUAAUGGGAAUGCUAAUAGUGUCUUUGCCUGGGGUGAUCCAAAGAGGUGAAGGAGGCAGUGGCUUUGAAGUUGGUAAGAAGAGGGUUGAAUAUAUAUUAGCGUGUAUGCGUGCUCAGUAACUUCAGUCGUGUCUGACUCUUUGCGACCCCAUGGACUGUAGCCCGCCAG